rnacentral:lncRNA from 1 species
CAAUUUCACGGUCCACUGAACAUAGAAAAUGAAAGUGGGAUUUUCAGGUUAAAUUUUUUGGUCAAGGUAGUUUUUGAUGAAGUUGAAGUCCAAUCAACUUAAAACUUAGUACACAUGUUCCCUAUGAUAUAACUUUCUAAUUUUAAUGCCUAAUUAUAUUUUUUAUCCAAUUUCACGGUCCAUUGAACAUGGAAAAUGAUAGUGCGAGUGGGGCAUCCGUGUACUUUGGACACAUUCUUGUUGGAUAUAUUUUUCAAACGAUAAGAGGAAUUAACUGAUAUGAAGGGUGGGACACGAAAGUUAUUCCCAGUUCGUGCCAUUUGAGAACGAUCAAGUAU